GUAGAUAUGGUAAGACCUAUUAUUUGUUAGUAUGCAACCCCUUUUUAUUGUGUGAAUUAAUAGAAUAAAUGACCAAAAUAUUAAAUAUUAUAUUAAGGCUAUUUUUGCAAUAAUAAUUGCUAAAUAAAUAUGUAGAAACAAUUAAGUGAAAUUUUAAUAUAUAAAAAAUUCACAGUAGAAAUGUCAAACUUUUUAAUAUAUGAAAAAUUCACGGUAGAAGUGUGAAACUCAAUAGAAAUCAGAAAAAAAUCCACAUUACUACACAAAGUGUUAAAUUUAUGAACUGGAAAUACAAAAAACUCAUAACCCAUAAGUCAGCGACAGUUAUAUACAAAUAUUCUUAAUCUGGAGAACCUCUUCUAUCAACCCAUUCCCAUUUCCGAAGGAUACUGUGCUAAAAUUUAACCAAUAAAUUAAUUCGCUUCUGCCCUACCAGCACCUCACCACAGUGGAACGGACAAUUACAAUUCACCACUUGUCGUGUCGAUAAUUCUCUUCAGACUAAAAAUGGGAGCAGCAGCACAGCAACGAAAUGAAAAAUUUCAUGAAAUCAGAAAAAAUCUACGAACUAUAAUAAAGUAAAACAACUCUCCUGAGACUACAGUACAAGAGUAAAUAAAUUUAGCAAUAUAGAAAAACAGUCCAACUCUCUUGUAAUGCUCUCAUGUAUGUAUGAUGAAGAAUACAAGAAUGCAAGCCAGCUCAAUUGCUUUGACAAUGCUUUUAUAAUACCGCUCGGUUUUACUUCCAUGCUAUCAAGAAAAUACCAGAGAAAUCUGGCUUCAGAAUAAACAUCAUAUGAAAAAUGUAAAUAAAGGUUGCCAAUAACAUUGAAAAUUAACAUUA